AAUCAACGCUGGCGGCGUGCCUCAGACAUGCAAGUCGAACGCGAAAGUUCCCUUCGGGGGAUAAGUAGAGUGGCGUCCGGGUGAGUAACACGUAGGUAAUCUACCUUUGGGUGGGGAAUAACAACCGGAAACGGUUGCUAAUACCGCAUAAUGCAGCGGCACCACAUGGUGACAGUUGUUAAAGCGGGGGAUCGCAAGACCUCGCGCCUAAAGAGGGGCCUGCGGCGGAUUAGCUAGUUGGUAGGAACGGCCUACCAGGCAACGAUCCGUAGCCGGCCUGAGAGGGCGGUCGGCCACACUGACACUGAAAUACGGGUCAGACUCCUACGGGAGGCAGCAGUCGGGAAUUUUGGGCAAUGGGCAAAGCCUGACCCAGCAACGCCGCGUGAA
rnacentral:rRNA from 1 species